GACGAACGCUGGCGGCGUGCUUAACACAUGCAAGUCGAACGGAAAGGCCCUGCUUUUGUGGGGUGCUCGAGUGGCGAACGGGUGAGUAACACGUGAGUAACCUCCCCUUGACUUUGGGAUAACUUCAGGAAACUGGGGCUAAUACCGGAUAGGAGCUCCUGCUGCAUGGUGGGGGUUGGAAAGUUUCGGCGGUUGGGGAUGGACUCGCGGCUUAUCAGCCUGUUGGUGGGGUAGUGGCCUACCACGGCGUUGACGGGUAGCCCGCCUGGGAGGGUGACCGGCCACAAUGGUACGACGAUACGCACCAGACUCCUACGGGCGGCAGCAGUGGGGAAUAUUGCACAGGGGGCCGCAGCCUGAUGCAGCGACGCCGCGUGCGUGAUGACGGCCUUCGGGUUGUAACCCGCUUUCGACUGUGACGAAGCGUGAGUGACGGUAAUGGGUAAAGAAGCACCGGCUAACUACGUG
rnacentral:rRNA from 1 species